UUCUUUGCACAAUAAAGCUCUUCAUGAGCU
rnacentral:sRNA from 1 species